CAGUCUCUGUAAGCCAAUGAGCAGUACUG
rnacentral:piRNA from 1 species